CCGCUUUGGUCACAGUGACUGCCACCGUUGCCCGGGGAUGGGUCCCUGAGAAUUGGCGAAGUAGGAGCCCUGUGUGAUUGUGCGUCAGAGUCGGGGCUGAGACCAGUCCUGGCCAGGGCAGUUACCAGGACGGUCUCCGGAGGCCGGGAUUCGCGGAGGGUCCGCCAGGAGGAAGAAACCUCAGACAGAUCGCCGGGGCCGCAGCGCGGGAUUCCAGCCUCAGGCGUGCACGGACGGUGUGCGGGAAGGGAGUGUAUCCUGGUGUAUGACAGCAUAUAGUAGAGACCAGUGUCAAUUAGGGCCUGUGAACUGAGACAGGGUGACUGGCUAAGUCCACAACCCAUUAGAAACCCAGAAAUAAUCAAAUCAUGGAGAGAUUAGUCCAGGGACAAUAAAUAUGGAUUAGGGAAGAAUGUGUUAACUCAGCAGGCCAGGGUUUCUUCAACCCUGCACAUUCAAAGAGGGAUCAUGGAAAGGAAGCUGAAUUUGCUGAGUUUUGCCACGUGGGCAUUGCAUGCCUAUGUGAUUAACCACCAAUAAAAACCUGGGACAUCAAAAAAUAAAUAAGCUGCUUUAAUUGCCAAGAAUUCACAUGUGGUUGUAUGCAGCAUUACUGGGAGAUUGAAGUGUAUCUGCAUGUGAUUCUACUGUGAUGGACACUUGUAAAUUUGUGCCUGGAGUCUCCUGGAAUUUGCCCUGAGAAUCUUUUUCCUUUGUUGAUAAGAAUCUGCAUCCUUUUGUUUUAAUAAACGAUAAACAUGAGUAUAAUUGCUUCUCUGAGUUCUGAGAGUUUUUUAAAUAAAU
rnacentral:lncRNA from 1 species